rnacentral:misc_RNA from 1 species
UCCUGGACCACACCUGUCACCUACCCCCCUCUCCUGGACCACACCUGUCAUCUCCCCCUUGCUGGAACACACCUGUCACCUCCCCCUUCUGCUGGACCACACCUGUCACCUACCCCCCUCUCCUGGACCACACCUGUCACCUUCCCCCUUGCUGGACCACACCUGUCAUCUCCCCCCCUGGUGGACCACACCUGUCACCUCCCCCCCCUCUGCUGGACCACACCUGUCACCCCCCCCCCCCUGCUUGAGGAGGAUGGAGGCCCAGGUGUUCAUUCUUCACCAUAUUCUUGGAGUAAUUAGGUUCAUUAUCCCUAGGUCGAUUUUAUGUAUUUUUUCCACCUGUAAAUUAAUAUAUUUGUUAUGUAAUAAUUAAGUACCACAUAUAUUUUUAAUAUCAACAAUAAGAAUAUUUUGUUCGCUGUUCAUACUCGCCAUAGAAAGCCAGAAGUGUCCAGUCAGCAUGCUGCGUGGUACAGCUGCUGCAGGGGUUCAUGAUGCGUGGUACAGCUGCUGCAGGGGUUCAUGUUGCGUGGUACAGCUGCUGCAGGGGUUCAUGUUGCGUGGUACAGCUGCUGCAGGGGUUCAUGUUGCGUGGUACAGCUGCUGUAGGGGUUCAUGUUGCGUGGUACAGCUGCUGCAGGGGUUCAUGUUGCGUGUACAGCUGCUGUAGGGGUUCAUGUUGCGUGGUACAGCUGCUGUAGGGGUUCAUGUUGUGUGCACAGCUGCUGCAGGGGUUCAUGUUGCGUGGUACAGCUGCUGUAGGGGUUCAUGUUGCGUGGUACAGCUGCUGUAGGGGUUCAUGUUGCGUGGUACAGCUGCUGCAGGGGUUCAUGAUGCGUGGUACAGCUGCUGCAGGGGUUCAUGUUGCGUGGUACAGCUGCUGUAGGGGUUCAUGUUGCGUGGUACAGCUGCUGCAGGGGUUCAUGAUGCGUGUACAGCUGCUGCAGGGGUUCAUGUUGCGUGGUACAGCUGCUGCAGGGGUUCAUGAUGCGUGGUACAGCUGCUGCAGGGGUUCAUGCUGCGUGGUACAGCUGCUGCAGGGGUUCAUGUUGCGUGUACAGCUGCUGUAGGGGUUCAUGCUGCGUGGUACAGCUGCUGCAGGGGUUCAUGAUGCGUGGUACAGCUGCUGUAGGGGUUCAUGUUGCGUGGUACAGCUGCUGCAGGGGUUCAUGUUGCGUGGUACAGCUGCUGUAGGGGUUCAUGAUGCGUGGUACAGCUGCUGCAGGGGUUCAUGUUGCGUGGUACAGCUGCUGUAGGGGUUCAUGUUGCGUGGUACAGCUGCUGCAGGGGUUCAUGUUGCGUGGUACAGCUGCUGCAGGGGUUCAUGUUGCGUGGUACAGCUGCUGCAGGGGUUCAUGAUGCGUGGUACAGCUGCUGCAGGGGUUCAUGCUGCGUGGUACAGCUGCUGCAGGGGUUCAUGUUGCGUGGUACAGCUGCUGCAGGGGUUCAUGUUGCGUGGUAAAGCUGCUGCAGGGGUUCAUGUUGCGUGGUACAGCUGCUGCAGGGGUUCAUGAUGCGUUGUACAGCUGCUGUAGGGGUUCAUGUUGCGUGUACAGCUGCUGCAGAGGUUCAUGUUGCGUGUACAGCUGCUGUAGGGGUUCAUGUUGCGUGGUACAGCUGCUGUAGGGGUUCAUGUUGCGUGGUACAGCUGCUGCAGGGGUUCAUGUUGCGUGUACAGCUGCUGUAGGGGUUCAUGAUGUGUGGUACAGCUGCUGCAGGGGUUCAUGAUGCGUGGUACAGCUGCUGUAGGGGUUCAUGUUGCGUGGUACAGCUGCUGCAGAGGUUCAUGUUGCGUGUACAGCUGCUGCAGGGGUUCAUGUUGCAUGGUACAGCUGCUGCAGGGGUUCAUGUUGCGUGGUACAGCUGCUGCAGGGGUUCAUGAUGUGUGGUACAGCUGCUGCAGGGGUUCAUAAUGCGUGGUACAGCUGCUGUAGGGGUUCAUGUUGCGUGGUACAGCUGCUGCAGAGGUUCAUGUUGCGUGUACAGCUGCUGCAGGGGUUCAUGUUGCGUGGUACAGCUGCUGCAGGGGUUCAUGUUGCGUGGUAGAGCUGCUGCAGGGGUUCAUGUUGCGUGGUACAGCUGCUGUAGGGGUUCAUGUUGCGUGGUACAGCUGCUGCAGGGGUUCAUGUUGCGUGGUACAGCUGCUGCAGGGGUUCAUGUUGCGUGGUACAGCUGCUGCAGGGGUUCAUGAUGUGUGGUACUGCUGCUGCAGGGGUUCAUGAUGCGUGGUACAGCUGCUGUAGGGGUUCAUGAUGCGUGGUACAGCUGCUGUAGGGGUUCAUGUUGCGUGUACAGCUGCUGCAGGGGUUCAUGUUGCGUGUACAGCUGCUGUAGGGGUUCAUGUUGCGUGUACAGCUGCUGCAGGGGUUCAUGUUGCGUGUACAGCUGCUGCAGGGGUUCAUGUUGCGUGUACAGCUGCUGUAGGGGUUCAUGUUGCGUGUACAGCUGCUGCAGGGGUUCAUGUUGCGUGUACAGCUGCUGCAGGGGUUCAUGUUGCGUGUACAGCUGCUGUAGGGGUUCAUGUUGCGUGUACAGCUGCUGCAGGGGUUCAUGUUGCGUGUACAGCUGCUGUAGGGGUUCAUGUUGCGUGUACAGCUGCUGUAGGGGUUCAUGUUGCGUGUACAGCUGCUGUAGGGGUUCAUGUUGCGUUGUACAGCUGCUGCAGGGGUUCAUGUUGCGUGGUACAGCUGCUGCAGGGGUUCAUGUUGCGUGUACAGCUGCUGCAGGGGUUGAUAUUGCGUGGUACAGCUGCGGUAGGGGUUCAUGUUGAGUGGUACAGCUGCUGCUGUAGGGGUUCAUGUUGCGUGUACAGCUGCUGUAGGGGUUCAUGUUGCGUGUACAGCUGCUGUAGGGGUUCAUGUUGCGUGUACAGCUGCUGUAGGGGUUCAUGUUGCGUUGUACAGCUGCUGCAGGGGUUCAUGUUGCGUGGUACAGCUGCUGCAGGGGUUCAUGUUGCGUGUACAGCUGCUGCAGGGGUUCAUGUUGCGUGUACAGCUGCUGUAGGGGUUCAUGUUGCGUGUACAGCUGCUGUAGGGGUUCAUGUUGCGUGUACAGCUGCUGUAGGGGUUCAUGUUGCGUGUACAGCUGCUGUAGGGGUUCAUGUUGCGUGUACAGCUGCUGUAGGGGUUCAUGUUGCGUGUACAGCUGCUGUAGGGGUUCAUGUUGCGUGUACAGCUGCUGUAGGGGGUUCAUGUUGCGUGUACAGCUGCUGCAGGGGUUCAUGUUGCAUGUACAGCUGCUGUUGAUUCACUGUGGAGGUUCUACGAGAUCUGUCUUGACCGUAGCAAAUAAACUUUCCUUCAAAUGUAGAAUGUAAACAGGUAGCUGUAGGCUACAGACGGUGUAUCCCCCUUUCCCCUAGAGUUCUUUGGCAAUACAUCUUCUGAACUGCUUUUUAUUGUGGUGAUUUACAGUGGGGAGAAGUCAGCUGUGACCACCCCAGUCGUAGCUUCGGCAGAACCCAACGCUGUCGCCCUCCAGCCCAGUCCACAACCGGCGCCUCCUCACCGCCCGAAACAUGAGAAUGAGCUCAGUAGACCUACCCGACGAGAACGAGAAGUCCCUCAGUUCAGCCAGCACCUCACCCUGCCCUUCACCCGUAAGUAAAGGCCGGCUACAAGGUCACCGUGACGGACACGUCCGACCCCGACUGGUGGCAGGGAAAGUGUCUGGGCAGGACCGGCUACUUCCCUUCCAAGUACGUCACCCGACUCAACGGGGGUGAGAAGCCUCUCCAGGUC